GACGAACGCUGGCGGCAUGCCCAACACAUGCAAGUCGAACGAGAUCUUCGGGUCUAGUGGCGCACGGGUGCGUAACGCGUGGGAAUCUGCCCUUUGGUUCGGAAUAACAGUUGGAAACGACUGCUACUACCGGAUGAUGACGAAAGUCCAAAGAUUUAUCGCCAGAGGAUGAGCCCGCGUAGGAUUAGCUAGUUGGUGUGGUAAAGGCGCACCAAGGCGACGAUCCUUAGCUGGUCUGAGAGGAUGAUCAGCCACACUGGGACUGAGACACGGCCCAGACUCCUACGGGAGGCAGCAGUGGGGAAUAUUGGACAAUGGGCGAAAGCCUGAUCCAGCAAUGCCGCGUGAGUGAUGAAGGCCUUAGGGUUGUAAAGCUCUUUUACCCGGGAUGAUAAUGACAGUACCGGGAGAAUAAGCUCCGGCUAACUCCGUGCCAGCCGCCGCAGUAA
rnacentral:rRNA from 1 species